rnacentral:rRNA from 1 species
CCUACGGGGGGCAGCAGUGGGGAAUAUUGCACAAUGGGGGAAACCCUGAUGCAGCGACGCCGCGUGAGUGAAGAAGUAUUUCGGUAUGUAAAGCUCUAUCAGCAGGGAAGAAAAUGACGGUACCUGAUUAAGAAGCCCCGGCUAACUACGAGCCAGCAGCCGCGGGAAUACGUAGGGGUCAAGCGUUAUCCGGAUUUACUGGGUGUAAAGGGGGAGUAGACGGCAGCACAAGUCUGGAGUGAAAUGCCGGGGCUUAACCCCGGAACUGCUUUUGAAACUGUUGAGCUAGAGUGCAGGAGAGGUAAGUGGAAUGCGUAGUGUAGCGGUGAAAUGCGUAGAUAUUAGGAGGAACACCAGUGGCGAAGGCGGCUUACUGGACUGUAACUGACGUUGAGGCUCGAAAGCGUGGGGAGCGAACAGGAUUAGAUACCCUUGUAGUC